AUUGAACGCUGGCGGCAUGCCUUACACAUGCAAGUCGAACGGCAGCACGGGAGCAAUCCUGGUGGCGAGUGGCGAACGGGUGAGUAAAGUAUCGGAACGUGCCCAGUCGUGGGGGAUAACGUAGCGAAAGUUACGCUAAUACCGCAUACGAUCUAUGGAUGAAAGCGGGGGAUCGCAAGACCUCGCGCGAUUGGAGCGGCCGAUAUCAGAUUAGGUAGUUGGUGGGGUAAAGGCUCACCAAGCCGACGAUCUGUAGCUGGUCUGAGAGGACGACGAGCCACACUGGGACUGAGACACGGCCCAGACUCCUACGGGAGGCAGCAGUGGGGAAUUUUGGACAAUGGGCGAAAGCCUGAUCCAGCCAUGCCGCGUGCAGGAUGAAGGCCUUCGGGUUGUAAACUGCUUUUGUACGGAACGAAAAGGUUUGACCUAAUAAGCUGAGCUCAUGACGGUACCGUAAGAAUAAGCACCGGCUAACUACGUGCCAGCCGCCGCUGUAA
rnacentral:rRNA from 1 species